GUUUAUGUCAGAGGAUGCAGUUAUACACAUUUAUUGCAGCUGGUGUCUGACCCAAGCAAUGUUAUGUUCAGAUUACUAUAAACAUGGGUAGACUCAUUAACAUAAGUUGUUUAACUAUUUAAUUAAGGAGGAGCAUUAUGUAUUCUUAAAUUACUUCCAAAAAUUAACAGUGGCAAAACUGUAUUUAAUGUUGUCACAACUCUGUUCACCUGCAUUUAGUCAUAAAUAACAAUGAUUUGAUGAUCUUUUUUCCCCAGUGGCUCUGGUUUAAAAUCAAGAUAACCAGAUAACCAAGUAUCCAAAUUAUUGGCCAAAAUCAGUGUUAAAAUAUGCAUUAAAGAAAGAAAAAGAAAAAAAAACCUGAAUUUUUUCCUAGUGGGAACCAGUGACAUUCAUAUUCAAGAUACUUAAUUUGAUUUACCUUUUAAAAACUUAAAUUUCUUAAGAAGAUCAGCACCUACAAAAGAGUCACAGAGGUACAAAAGGAGUCCACUGAAAAACACCCCUUCACAGUUGACAUUGCUGGAAUGGGGUCUGGAGCUGAUGUAGCAUAUGGCCACCUGAAAGCAACAAGCAGAAAUAGCAUGGGGAUUUCAAAAGCAAGCAAAUCACCUGCAUUUUAGUUGAAUGAGUUAGUGCCUUCCUCUUUUUUUCAGUAAGACAAAGAAGCUGAAUUUUUUUCAGUGUUAGGAGUGGUGGUUAUUUAUGCUAUUCAUCUCCUUUUUAGUAUACCGAGUUUUAACCUGUUUAAAAUGUCUCCCAUUUUUCAUAAUAAAGGUCUGUUGUGACAGAGAUUUAAUAUUAAUUUCAUUUUAGGAGAAAAACUCCAUAAAAAGAAUAUAAAAUUUUAAAAAGGACUAUCUUUCAUUUUUUAAAAAGUAUAUUUAGGAAAGAGAAUGUUUAGGUUACUUGAGAAUAAAAAUAAUUUUAAUUAAUUAGCUUUUCAUCUAGACAAAAUUUUCAGUUGGGUAGGAUUUUAAAACAGCAUGAGGGCAGGGCUUUUGUAUGUCAAUGGUGGAGCACUUGCCCAGCAUGCACAAGGAUCUAGGUUCAAUCCCCAGGAGGUGCAGACUGCAUGAAUUUAAAAUUUUAGCUCUAUAAAGCUUGCAGAUGCAGAAUGUAUACUUCCCUGUGAUUUUUGUGAAGUUAUAAAGUAGUUGGGAGUAGAACUGUGGAAUGGCUAAUGUGUGGGCCAGUCAGCUUGCGUUCACAUUCUGGCUUCUCUAUUUAGUGGCUGUAUGGCACUGGGAAAAUGUAUUUUGCUACACCUUAGUGUUACUCAUGUAAAUUACAGUAUUGUGGAGUAGAUUCAUUUAUAUUGAGAAAAAUGUUACCUGAUUCAUAAGGCAUUUGUGAGUUAAAUUAAUGUAAACCACUUAGCAUUCAGUAAAUGUUAGUUGCUGUUAGUAGAAGAGUAGUAUUGAGGUUAUCUAAUACUAAGUGCUUUGGACUCUGGGAUAGUGGAAUUGGAAGACCUGGGGUACACACAUAAUUUAUAUAGAUAACAUCAAGAGUAUUAUUAUAUCAAAUGGGUCUUAAGGUACUUUCUCUGAACAUUGCAG
rnacentral:lncRNA from 1 species